GCCUUCGUGUUGUAGUGGUCAGCGGGCUCGACGUGUAUUCGAGAGGUCUGUGGUUCGAGUCUCGGCAAGGGCA
rnacentral:tRNA from 1 species